UCAAACGAAAAUAAAAAUAUAUUGGGGUGACAGAUCACAGAUGCUAACGAAAAGUAACGUGACAAUUUCUAUACAGUAUUUUGGUUUCUAUUGGCGUUUUCUAUCAACGGUUGUCAUGUUGGUUAGGCCCUGCUGUCUAAAUAACGUUACAAAAACCUGAUUCCGGGUCGGUAUGUUGAAGUUUUUGGAAAUAUAACAGUGUGACUCGUUUGAAUAACGAUAAAAUAAACCUCGUUUGCGAGCGGGAUAUCGCAUCUAUAUACGCUGUCCCGCUCAUAGCACUGUCACGUCCAUACACCGGUGCGACUUGCGAAUUCACAUGAGUGUGAUUACCGCAAUUUAGUGGUCCUACCUCAACAUAACUAAGCUCGCGUAUCCACGGCCACAGCCUUAGCGAGUGGGUGUGAUAAGCCUACUUGAAUGACUACGAUCGCAACGGUUUCGCAGUACGAAUACAUUCAAUGUAUUUGCUAUUCAUUCAACUAGCUAUACAACAACUUUUUUAUACUACAUCUGCAGCAAACAAGCAUACAACCCUUCUGACAGUAAACAGUCACCGUAGCUUAUGGACGCCUGCAUCUUUUUAUAAGAGAUAACACAUGGCGAAACUGAAUGACAAAUCACUAGAAUGCAUCACAGAAAGUAUCUUUCACCCGAUCGACACUAUCGAGCGAUAAUAAUAACGUAUAAACAGGAAGCCUUUUGCUAACAGUGGAAUAGAUAGCCGCGCACUGUCUAUAAAAUGACAAACUAAAAUGUUUAUUUCCAAACACACUAUGUAACUUCACCAACCACUAAAAUAAUGCAUGGAAAUUAAAUUAAACGCACUUUCUAACAUU